GACGAACGCUGGCGGCGUGCUUAACACAUGCAAGUGGUGCGACGAACCAGGGCUUGCCCUGGGGCAAAGCCGCGAACGGGUGAGUAACACGUGAGUAACCUGCCCCGAUGACCGGGACAACCCGAGGAAACUCGGGCUAAUACCGGAUGUGGCGCACAGGCAUCAGCCUGUUCGCUAAAGGAAGCUUCGGCCUCCGCAUUGGGAGGGGCUCGCGGCCCAUUAGCUUGUUGGUGGGGAACGGCCUACCAAGGCAACGAUGGGUAGCUGGUCUGAGAGGACGAUCAGCCACACUGGGACUGAGACACGGCCCAGACUCCUACGGGAGGCAGCAGUGGGGAAUCUUGCGCAAUGCGCGAAAGCGUGACGCAGCAACGCCGC
rnacentral:rRNA from 1 species